GUUGAUUGACUCAAGACCGAGUCGGAUGGCAUAGUUGGCUAAGGUAAAGUAACCUUAGGAAAGAAAGGCUAAUGUGUAUAAUAUUAUUAAGGUGUGAGUACCCUUAGUAAAGCGUAAAGAAUAAAGAAUAAAGAAUCAAGAAUAAGGAAAGGCUAAUGCUAAAGAAUGACAAGUAAUAAAGAAUAAAGAAAGGUUAAUGCUAAAGAAUAGCUAGUAAAGUAAAGAAUGAGUAAAAGUAAAGAAUGGAUAAGAAUAAAGUGUAGAAGCAAUUAAUCUACUAUAUGAGUUGCAUAAUUUGCAUAUUGCAUGUUGUGAGGCAAAAGCAUGGUAAUGUUAGUUGCAUGAUUUAUGAUUUCAUAUCUAUCUAUUGGACUAACAUGUUGUUUGCCUCCUUUGGACCUGAUGGUGGAGCUCUUUCCUUUGGUGGCCGUACCCACUGGGAACUAUGGAGUUAGUUCUCACCCCACGUUGUUUUGGGGUGUUACAGGUUCACACGUGAGCGGCGCGGCGGGACGAGGCAAGGGCGUAGCUCCAUAUAUAGCGCCCUACCACAGAGACCAGAGGUAGUAGUACCCCAAGUCGGCAUAGGCUAGAGAAAAAUGAAAGAACAAGAUGUAUAAAACUUGUAGUAAAUUUGUAAUAAUUGGAUUGUAUUUGGAAGUUGAAUGUAAAAGAAUGUAAUUUGUAAUGUAAAAUAUAAUAUGUGAGAUGAAUGCUUGUAAUAGCAAGUAGAAUUAUGUUUUGAUACUUCCUUAUGCAAUCUUUGGUUGAAUGUGUUCCUGGUUGGAACUUCGUACAUUGUAUUGAUUGCGACGC
rnacentral:lncRNA from 1 species